rnacentral:rRNA from 1 species
GAGUUUGAUCUUGGCUCAGAUUGAACGCUGGCGGCAGGCCUAACACAUGCAAGUCGAGCGGAUGACGGGAGCUUGCUCCUUGAUUCAGCGGCGGACGGGUGAGUAAUGCCUAGGAAUCUGCCUGGUAGUGGGGGACAACGUUUCGAAAGGAACGCUAAUACCGCAUACGUCCUACGGGAGAAAGCAGGGGACCUUCGGGCCUUGCGCUAUCAGAUGAGCCUAGGUCGGAUUAGCUAGUUGGUGGGGUAAUGGCUCACCAAGGCGACGAUCCGUAACUGGUCUGAGAGGAUGAUCAGUCACACUGGAACUGAGACACGGUCCAGACUCCUACGGGAGGCAGCAGUGGGGAAUAUUGGACAAUGGGCGAAAGCCUGAUCCAGCCAUGCCGCGUGUGUGAAGAAGGUCUUCGGAAUUGUAAAGCACUUUAAGUUGGGAGGAAGGGCGAGUAAGUUAAUACCUUACGCUGUUUUGACGUUACCGACAGAAUAAGCACCGGCUAACUCUGUGCCAGCCGCCGA